GCCACCGCUAUUGGAAUACGAUUAAGACAUGCGAGUCGAGAGACGUAAGGUCUCGGCGGACCGCUCAGUAACACGUGGAUAACAUGCCCUAAGGAGGGGGAUAAUCUCGGGAAACUGAGGGUAAUACCCCAUAGGUCUAUUUUGCUGGAAUGCUAAUAGGCCGAAAACUCCGGUGCCUUAGGAUUGGUCUGCGGCCUAUCAGGCAGUAGUGGGGUGUAAUGGACCCACUAGCCCGUGACGGAUAUGGGCCUUGAGAGAGGGAGCCCAGAGAUGGACUCUGAGACAUGAGUCCAGGCCCUACGGGGCGCAGCAGUCGCGAAAACUUUCGCAAUGGGGGCAACCCCGACGAGGGAAUUCCAAGUGCUAGCACUUUGUGUUAGCUGUUCUUCUGUCUAAAAAACAGGAGGAGUAAGGGGCGGGUAAGACGGGUGCCAGCCGCCGCGGUAAUACCCGCGCCCCAAGUGGUGGUCGAUAUUAUUGAGCCUAAAACGUCCGUAGCCGGUCUUCUAAAUCCUUGGGUAAAUCGGGCAGCUUAACUGUCCGAAGUCCGGGGAGACUGGGAGACUUGGGACCGGGAGAGGUCAGAGGUACUUCUGGGGUAGGGGUAAAAUCCUGUAAUCCUGGAAGGACCACCGGUGGCGAAGGCGUCUGACUAGAACGGAUCCGACGGUGAGGGACGAAGCCCUGGGGCGCAAACGGGAUUAGAUACCCCGGUAGUCCAGGGUGUAAACGCUGCGGGCUUGGUGUUGGGGGUCCUUAGUGGGCGCCCAGUGCCGGAGAGAAGUUGUUAAGCCUGCUGCUUGGGGAGUAUGUCCGCAAGGAUGAAACUUAAAGGAAUUGGCGGGGGAGCACCGCAACGGGAGGAGCGUGCGGUUC
rnacentral:rRNA from 1 species